rnacentral:rRNA from 1 species
UACGUAGGGACCAAGCGUUGUCCGGAAUCACUGGGCGUAAAGAGCGUGUAGGCGGCUUGGUAAGUCCGCUGUGAAAGUCCAGGGCUCAACCCUGGAAUGCCGGUGGAAACUGUCAGGCUCGAGUCCGGAAGAGGAGAAUGGAAUUCCUGGUGUAGCGGUGAAAUGCGCAGAUAUCAGGAAGAACACCCGUGGCGAAGGCGGUUCUCUGGGACGGUACUGACGCUGAGACGCGAAAGCGUGGGGAGCGAACAGG